GGCUCUGCAGUGUUGGGUUCUCCCUGAACCCCUGGCCACUGUUCAUUGGUUCAGCCCUGAGCCCUCCUCCCUCUUGGGCUCAUGAGGGGGAGUGGCUGCUUCUCUGAAUUCAAGCUAGGCCUCACUCCUCGCCAUGAAGCCUGUUCAUGGCUCCCGCUUCGGCCGAAACAGGUUCCGGAUUGUCUAUGUGAACCGUUUUGGUAGCCACCGCUGUGGCUCUGUGAUUCAUUAUGGCAGCGGCCACCUCAGGCCUGAGGGCAAAGUUCCCCUGGCAACACCCAUUUCUGAGGGAAUUGGGUGCGCAACCCUUUCUCCUUCCCCCCGGGGACAAAAGAGCCCAUGUUUUGUGCUUCGAGCUGGUCCCAAGAUGCAAGCGGGCAAAGCAGGAGCCUGUGGAAGCCAACAACUAGGCAGAGAAGGGCAGGCCGCAUCCACCACAGCCAAAGAGACGCCCGAGUUGCCAUGCGCACCCAGAUGCGGACUGGAGCUGUGAGAGGGAGGCUGUUUGCUCCAUGGAUUCCAGUAGUCCGAAGCAAACUGAUGACUGCCAAGAGUCCCAAAGAGAUGUAUUUGAAUUUUCUGCUCCUUUGGAAAAUGUUAACAACGUAAUCAGGAAACACAAGAAAAAGUCUGCAGUGUGGCAUAGAGUUUCUAAAGUGAUUUCUAAGAUGGUCGAAGAAAAUGGACAUUUUCGAAACCGACUUAUACACUGCAGCCAACUUUCAAAUGAAGGAAGAAGCCAUUUUUGGAUGGGUGUAAGGCAUAAAAAUGAGAAAAUGAAGCUUUAUUAUGAUGAGUAUUAUUAUUGGAUUGUUUUAUAUUUUGUAUUUGAAAAUAGGUUUGUUGUUCCUAUUUGCCAUCAAGUCAAAUUCAACUUAUGGAUGACCUUAUGAAUGAGAGACUUCCAGUCAUCAGUUGCCCUACUCAGGUCCAGGGCUCUGCUUUCCAGGACUGAACCAAUCUCCUUGCAGUGUGGUCUUCCUCUUGACCUGCUUUCACCCAUUAUAGUCUUUUCCAGUAAAUCAAAGGUCAUGACCUGUCCAAAGUACAAUAGUCACACUUUAGCAAUUCAGGCUUCAUUUGACCAAGAACCACUAAGUUGUCUUUUUAGCAGUACAUGUAUCAAUCUCACAGUAUCCUUCCAGGUGGGAUGCUAAACUAGGAUGAGUCAUGAAACAGAGCAGGAAGGCAAAGAGACAGCAAAUAAUAACUUUAGCCAAAGGAACUACCAUUCAGAGAUAGAGUUUAUUCAGGCAUCAGUAUUUUAAACAAUUUCAAGGUACAAAGAAAACACUAUCUCAACACAUGGUAUCCACAGUUCUGCAAUGCCAUGUUGCAAAUGAGUUUAUUGUCUUUCUUUCAGUUGUCUUUAUUGUUUAGUGGGAAAUACAAAAUGCUAAUCAUAAAUCAGAAUAGUACCACAGCAAGCAAGAUAUGAAGAUGAUGGAGUCAAGAUGCAUUGUUAGUCUUGUUGGUGCAAACCGGAGUUAUGAAUAUAAAUGUAUCUUAACGACAACGAGAGCAGUUCUUCAUCCUCUUCCAGAGUUCACUCACCUGAAAUGGGUCUCCUAUACUCUCUAAGUAAUUGCCUAGACCAGUGGUUCUCAAUCUGUGGGUCCCCUAGUAUUUUGGACUUCAACUACCAGAAAACCCAGCCAGUUUACCAGCUAUUAGGAUUUCUGGGAGUUGAAGGCCAAAACAUCUGGGGACCAACAGGUUGAGAACUACUGGCUAGAAAGACCAGCACAUUGCAAGAGUUGUACGGUUUCUGAUGCUUAAAAAAAAAAAAAAGAUAGUUGAAAAAACCGUCACAUCCUUAACUGUUUGUUGCCAAAAGUAAAUACGAAAUGAACCCCCACCCUCCCAAAAAAGUAGAAAAAGUAGAAAAAGAUAUGUGGAUAUUAUCUAUAUUAUCUAGCUCUCCAUUAUGCUUUCAUAACACAGAGUAUUAUGAAUAUAAUUUUCCAAGAGCUCUCAGUUUUACAGACACAAAUUAAGUCCCAAAAGAACGGUUGACCUUACAUUUAAAACCAUUGGUGAUGAUAUCUGUACUGUUAAUACUGUGAACAUAGUUUGAGGAGAUAUGUCUGGUAAACAUCCUAAAUCUGAUGAUUUUUCAUUACAAAAAGGCAACCUUAUGUCCACUUACAUGUUAGCAAGCUUUGCUGAAUUAAUUAGGCCUUAUUUAGCUCAAUUUAGAUCUGUGUGAAAAUAUCUUGAGUGAUUUGUCAGCGCUCAUGUAAAUAUGAUACCUGCAAUCUACAGCUGAUUGCCAAAAGUGAAAUACUAUAUUUUAGAAAUGUGUUUUAGAGGAUGACAGUCUCUUUCUUCUGGUCCAAAUCCAAUCUUCCCUCAUUGCCUGAAGGAGUAAGUUCACAAACCGACCUCUAAUGGCAUACACUUCAAUAGAAGGAAUAGAUCCAUGAUGCCCCAUUCCCCCAGUGAAUUUUGAAAUGUGUGUGCAUGAAUUAUCUGCACAUCAUAGUUCAUGUUGAACUCUGGACUGGGACCACUACUUCUUGCAAAAAUGUGUUUUACAACUAGGAUCUUUGCAGUCUAUAACCUGAAGAACUCAGACCAGUUAACAGCCUGCUGUGAAGGAUUUCAUGGUAAUUU
rnacentral:lncRNA from 11 species